rnacentral:lncRNA from 1 species
AAGAACAGAAACUCAAUGUUGGAGGAUCUCUUUUUUGGGGGUUAUCUUCCCUGCCCCUGAACCUUAACUAAUUGAAAAAAAAUGCAAGACUGGCAAAACCAGUUUUUGAAAGUAAUACUCUGACUGUAUAAGAACAGUAGUCCACCUUGAGCAAGAGGCAUGAAAACUAGAACCUCACCCACUGUUCCAGCUAGUUUUUUACCCGUUAAAGACAACCACUGCCUCCUCUUGCUAAUCCUGACUCAUGCCUAAGGACUAGGUGGUGGAUGCCUGCCUUCUGUUCUCUCCCAGCCCAUCCAGAUAAUCCUUUAUUAUGGCCUUUAGCAUACUGAUGACAAUUGCCUCUGUUACUUUCAAGAGAACAGAAGUUCCUUGAAGGCAUAAGUUCCGUGUGUUGAAGGGGAGGAGACACAUAUAUUUCCCAAAUGAAUGAAUGAAUGAAUGAACUGAGUUAUGUAGACCUAAAGUGGUGGUACCUUCUUAUUAAGCUUGCCUGUUUGAAUUUAGCUAUGCUUCUUAACCUGGCCAGACGUCAGGAUUGAACUGGGUCAAAAGAAUGUGUAUAUUGAGAUUUAGGGUAACUGGAAAGCUGCUAGUUAUCAUCAAUUGCUAAGGAAAACUCUCCAGAUUUUACUUCCAUGAUUCAAUUGUUACUUCAUGAUUCAGAUGAUGUUUAAAAAAAAAAAAAAGUUAACUAUUAUUGAUCAGUUCUUGGAAAAUUACUGCUGGACAUUCAACCUAGUACAAACAUUCUCAUCUUAGGGUUCUCUCUGUCCACCUUGCCCACCUUCUUCCCUCUGAGUUGUUUCGGCAGCCUUAAAUAUCAUGGAUGUUUUAAAAUUCCUGCACAGGCUCAGUAGUAUUGACUUGAUGAGUGCUGGUUCCUCUGGAUGAAUGAGUGCUAUCAUUUUCUAGGCUGGCUGUUACUUUGAAGAUCCACGUCUUUAAAAUAUGAGUCAGUACCCUUGGGCAUGAGGUCUUGACAGGUCUAAUUUCUUAGCCUUUGCUAGGAAAAAGGCUUCUGUCUCUUUUGCUUUCUCAGUUAUAGUAUAUGGCUCUUUGGAGUUCAAGUGACCAGCUAAAACAUGGCACAUGUUUGAAUGAGAGGAAAAGAGACAAAGGUCAUAGUCAUUGUAAUAAGUCAUGAUAGAAAUGAGACCAGGUGUCAUCAGAGGUUAGAUGAGCAGCAAAGCUCUCUCAGUCGUAUUUGGUGCCCUCUGUUCCUCCUUUUCAUCAUUUAAUUUAUCAUUCAUGUGUGUGUAUAUAUAUAUAUGACUGAGUCACUUUGCUGUAUAGCAGAAAUAGGCACAACAUUGUAAAUCAACUAUUAUUUUAUUUUUUGUUUUUUUUUAGGGCCGCACCUGUGGCAUAAGUAGGUUCCCAGGCUAGGGGUCAAAUAGGAGCUGCAGCUGCCGGCCUAUACCACAGCCACAGCAACUCAGGAUCUGAGCUGUGUCUGUGACCUACACCACAGCUCACAGCAACGCUGGAUCUUAGCCAACUGAGCAAGGCCAGGGAUUGAACCUGCAUCCUCAUGGAUGCUUGUCAGAUUCAUUUCCCCUGAGGCAUGAUGGGGGACUCCUGCUAAGAUUCUUUAAUAUGCUAAUAUUUAUGGUGAAUCUCAAAGGGAGGGGAUUAAUGUGGAUUAUCCCCAAAUUUAAUUAGGAUUGUCUCCCUUCCCAUUCCACCUCCACCCCACCCCCACCCCUACCCCCUGCCAAGCAUUUUAGUAGAUUAGCUUGUGAGGAACAAACUUGGGAAUAUUACGACACCAACAAAACCUCCUUAUAAGAAAUGUUUUGCAGCCAGAUGCUUAGCAUUAAAGGACUAGGGAUUUUUAAUCUUGGAAUUAUUGGUGAUGAAUAGUUUGACUAACCUGCCAUAGUUUUCAAGGGGUGAGAAACUCUGAACCAUUGUGAGGUCAUAGCUUCAGCCUUACUGUGGAUGACAGUCCUACUGUGGAUGAUGGCUUUGGUGAGCAGACAGUUACUCAAAUGGUGGGAUAACCUCAGUCACUAAGACCCUGGCAAAGAAGUAAGAGCGAGGGUCAACACAGAAACAUUGUAAACCUUGUGGCUUUGAUCAGAAAUGUAACACUUUGCAAUCUAGAAAGACUGCUAUGAUUCCCAUUUAAUAAAUAAGGUAACUAGAGCUUUCAGAAAGGUUAAGUGAAGUAUCCAAAGUCACAUGGCUAAAAACUAAGUCGAGGGCCAUGGGCUUUAUCCCCCUUCUAGUCCAGUGCUCUUUGCUCUGCUCUGCAUUGCUGUGUGAUGCAGGAGCGAGGGGAUUGUCGUUAAUUAGAGAGGGAAUCUGGGGGUUUGUAUUAUGGCUCUUACCUUGGUGUAUCUUUGGAUAGAAAUAAAAGUCUGUUGGUUUCCCAUUUCUGUCAUGUUCUUACUCUUUUUUCCUUAACCACAUUAUGGUAGCCAUGGCAGUGAAUGAGAUUUUCAUCCCAACAUGUCUUAUGUCGUGACCUCUUCUCUCUACUCAUUUAUAUCUUUGUGAGAAAUCCAAUUUGUGGACCACAUGUUUUUUGUCAGGGAGGGUCUUGAGUUAAAAUUUCUUUCUUCUUCUUGAACUAAAGGAGCAGGGGCAAUAGGGGUGUUUACUUAAGCCUUAGGUAUUUUAAAUAGAGAAAGCUUAAUGAUCUAAAUAGAGAACUAGGAACAAGUUUUCUUGCCAUAUCUGGGAAGAAAACCCAUUGGAGACCUUUAGAAAGAAAGUAGAAUGAAUGAUGAAAAGCUGGCCUCAGAGUUUUUCUUGCCUUAGAGUUUCUGUACAAUAAAUAUUUGUACUAUGUCACUAACACAGUUCAACUGUAUGUCACUUAGUCUUUCUCUAAUUUUUUUGUAGUUUUCAAUAUGUCCAAUUCUCUGAAGAUGAUUUUAAGAGAUUGGGACAAAUGACAAAUGGCUUUCUGAACCUUGAAAGUAAAAUAAAAAGAAAACAAGGACUUAGUCACAUGGAAAUUCUGAUUCUUGGAAGUGGAGUACGAUGCAGUGGUUCUUAGGCCACGUUCUCCCAUGAGACACAGGAUGGAUAAUGCUUCAUGAUGCCUGUUGGCCUACCUAACACUGAUUGCCGUGUCACUUCCCUCUGUUUUAUUCAAGAGGAUCUAUUCUACUAAAAAGUAAUUGUUUGCAAAUUUAGCAAUUUAUCACUCGUUAUUUUAUUUUUUUAAAGUGUGUAUGUAAAAUUACUCUUCAUCAAUCAGGAAACCCAAAUGCUGUAUGAAGACAGGACAAUAUUACUGAUUGAGAAUCAACAUGUCUUAAAGGCUGUUUCAGUAUUUCCAUGUCAAUGGAAUAAACCACACACAAUAACAUUUUAAUGUAAAAUUCACGCACAAUUUGGAGUUUUCUCUACAACCAAAAUGUUGAUUUAACAUUUCUGUAUUAUGGGGGCAAAUCCUGCCAACAAUGAAUGUUUUGCUUCUCUGUUAUAGUCAAGAUUCUGAGUUCUUUUUUUUUUUUUAAGAGUAUAGUUGAUUUACAGUUUUGUGUCAGUAGUUACAACAGAAAUUGACACUAAUGUUACUUUAAAUCAAUACAUUAACAAUAAUGUUUAAAAAUAAUUCAGUGCUAAAGAUUCCUCUCUAAUUGCACUGAAUGAUUCUAUAUGUUUGUAAACUUUUUAGCUAUGUACAGAGAUAAGUAAAAGCUUCCCUUCCCCCCUACUCUCUCCUCCCAAUUCUGUUCCCUUCCCAAAGCAAUCACUAUUUAUGGUUUUCUUUCUUCAACAGGAGAACAUUUAGGGGUUGUUGUUGUUGUUGCUGUUUUUACCUUUACAAACAAUGCUGCAUUUUGUGCACAUGGCCAGUAUUUCCCAGUCUGAAGAGAGUGCCUGUUUUAAACUUUGACAAAUGCUGCCAAUACUGCCAAAGGACUAGAGCAACAUACCCAGGCAUCAAAGUCUAAGAGAUGACCCCUUGCCCCCUGCUUUGCCAAUACUGAGUGUUAUCACUCUGUAUUUUUCUAAUUUGGUGGUAGAAUGAUGGCAGGGUUGUUUCAAUUUGCAUUUGCUUGGCCACUAGCGAGAAAAAUAAAAUCUUAAUAAUCUUUUUGGCCAUUUUUCUUUUCGUAGGAAUUCACUUUUUGGAACUCGGCUGGUUACUUACCUGUUGUGUCUCAACUCCAAAUCCAUUCUUUGCAUUCUGCUCUGUUCUCCUGGAACUGGAAUUGUGAAAACUGGAUUCCUCUGUAAUCUUUGCUUCCUUGGGUCUAUGAUUAGGAGGAAGUCUAUACUACAGGGAGAUUGGAAAGUGGGAGAAAGGGAGAAGGGACCUCAUGUUGCUAUUAGCCUUUAUCGUCCAGCAGUAGUUGGCUCCAGCGACUGGCUUCCUGCAGCCUCCCCAGAGCAAGACACAUCACUCUUCCCCUGACAUUUGCACCACCACCUCAGGUUCUGGUCGUCCUACCUCUUGAUUUUCUUGUGCCUCCAGGACUAGCAGUGAUAUUGACUUCCUAUUUUAUCUAGGUUCCCUCAGUGUCUCCUCUUUCUUCCUUCAGCAGUCCAACGCUUGGGUAACCAAUUUGCUGUAUGAAGUCUGCUGUUUGAAACAUCUAAUGUGUUUCUUUCUGGUCUCCUCACUGACCUUUGACUACUGGCUGAUUUUUUAGUUAGGAUUUCUGUAUUACUCAUACUAGUUUGCAAGAGCUUUUUCUGAUUUAAUACUUUGUUUUAAAUUUUGUAACUACAUUCUCCCAGUCAUC